rfam:Lentisphaerae bacterium RIFOXYA12_FTLL_48_11 rifixya3_full_scaffold_1911, whole genome shotgun sequence.
CGUUCUGAUGGGAAACCGUCAGAAUGAUCGGUGAGGAGUCAGCAGAAGUCGCAGGGUAUUGGCAGCGAUUGGAAACGCGCCUCGGAAAAACCGGGGAUGGACGCACCCCGCUGAAGGGC